rnacentral:lncRNA from 10 species
UGCAGACGUGAUCCACAGUUAUCACGACGUGCAGAUGAACCUUGGUUUAUCAGAUGGCAUAGCUGAGUCCUUAAGGAAUAUCACCCAGAGAGCUGAGCUUCAAUGAGUUCUGGAGGCCAAAAGUCCAAAAUCAAGGUGUUGGCAGAGCCGUGCUAUCUCCAAGUGCUCCGGGGGAGCAUCCUUCCUUGCUUCUUCCAGCUUCUGGUGGCUCCAGGCAUCACUUGGCUUGUGGCUUCAUAACCUCUGCGUCUGUCUUCAUGUGGCCUCUUCUUCCCUAUGUUUCUCCUCUUACGAGGAUACUUGUCACUCACUUUAGGGUCCCCCUGGAUAAUCCAAGAUGAUCUCAUCUUGAGUUCCUUAAUUAUAUCUGCAAAGACUCUUUCUAUAAAUAAUGUUAUAUUUACAAUUUCUGGAGGUUAGGAUGUGGAUAUAUCAUUUUGGGGCCAUCAUUCAAUCCACUACAGGGAAGUUCCUACCAGUUAAAAAAAAAACAGCUUGAGGACAAGGCACUCAUGAUAGAAAAUCCAUGUAGGGUAACUGGAAUAGAGAUUUGCUAAGGGGAAUGAAAGGUAUACAUUUGUAUCUGGCAAUCGUAUAUCCAGAAUUGAAGAAUCAGUUCUCAAAGCCUCUCUCUAUUCAAGGAAGCUCAAGUCCCUCUCUCGCUCUCUCCCAAAUUACAAAAGCUCAAUGAUGUAUCCUGUUUCAUCUAAUCCUCUGGUUUAGGGCAACCAAGGACAUAAGUUUCUCCUCCUUUACUAAACUAUAGAAUUGUGCAUGUUAGAGCUUGAAAAGACCAUUAAAAUGAUCUCAGUCAACUUUUUUCUUUUAAACCCUAGUGACCUUUUCAAAGUUACACAGCAAGUAAUAAGAUGAGAGCUGGAAUCCAAAUUCUACAAUCUACACACAUGCCUUCUUCAUUGCAGGCUACUCUCUUGGAAAUUCUUCCUUCCAUCCUCCUUUUCUCCUUCUUCCUCCCAUCCUCCUCCCUUUCUCCUUUAGGUGGAAAAGGUUGCAUUUACAGUAUAACCCUCUACAAACCCCAAUUCUUCUCUCAUCUCUCAUUCUUAACUCUCAUAUCAUUGAUAUAGGUGAGAGAGUUGAAAAGUUAGGUAACCAUUUUUUAACAACUUCUUUGUAAAUUUUGUUUCUGUUCUAGAUCUCCUCUAAGAUACUACUUCUGUUUUCUUUGGUCUCAGCUAAGAUUUCGAUUUUAACAUCCUGUUAUAAGUUCUGUCAUAGUUGCAUACAAAGGAUGUUAUGGAAACACACCAGAGGCAAACCUAACUUGGCCUUGCUGGGUUCAGGGAAAGCUGGGUAUGGCCAGGAACUUACUAAGUGGAGUCCUAAAUGCUGAGUUGAAGUUAUCCAUGUGAAGGGGGACAGUGAUGUAUGUGUGGAAGGUGGGGAGUGAAGAAAGAGGGAGGAAAGGCAUUUAAGGCAAAUGAAAAAACAUUUGCAAAGACCUAGACUGAGAGAAGACACUGUGCCUUUUUGGAACUGGCAUUGAAGUGUGGUAUGGCUAGAGUUUUGAGAGGUGCAGCUGUGUGUGUGUGUUCAUGGAAUGGGGACAGGUGGGAGGAACUCAGGCAAAAAGUGAGGUGAAAGAGGUAGGCAAGGGGCAGAUCAUGAGGGUCCAUGUAGGUCAGGCUAAGAAGUUUGAGUUAUCCUGAAGAUAAUAGGAAGUUUUUUGAAGUGACAGGAUCAAGCCAAGUGUGCUGGCCCACACGUGCAAUCCCACCUACUUGGGAGACUGAGGUGGGAGGAUCCCUUUGAGCCCAGGAGUUUGAGACCAGACUAAGCAACAUAGGGAGACCCUGUCUCUACAGAAAAUUUUUCAAUAAAUAAUUUUUUAAAAACAAUGAAAUGACAGCAUCAGAUUUCAAUUCUAGAAAAGUUUUUCUGUCUUUUUGUAAUGGGGAAUUAGAUAUAGCAAGAUGAACAGGAAAGGCUGUUUAAGGGUUUAAUUAUGCUAACCUGGACAACCAAAAGUGUUAAUUUCAGGCACUGUUCUAAGUGCUUUUCUUUUGUCAUCCUGGGUAAUCCUUUCAAGAAAGUGUCAAGGUGGACACUAUUAGUAUUCCCAUUUACAGAUGAGGAAACUAAGGCACAGAUUAUUAUGAUCACUCUGACUGUUGUGUGGAAAAUGGAUUAGAUGGUGGGCACAAGUUAACGCAAGGAGGUCAGAGAGGAGAAUUUUUCUAAAGUUCAGGCAAAAGAUAAUGAUAGUGUAGAGAAAGGAUAGGAGAAAUAAAAUAAAGAGCAAUGAACAUAUUUGAGAAAUGCUGAGAUUUGUUGAUGGACUAAAUGUUGAAAAGUGAAAAAAUCAAGGAUUAUUCCAAGGACAUUGGCUUAAAUGGACAUUUUGAGGUCAUAAAUAGUUGUAUAGAACAAACAAAAGUUGUAUAGAGGGAGUUUUUGAAGGCAUACCAUUGAUUUAGCAGCUGUUUCCUGAGUUCUUGAGUUGUGCCAGGCACUGAGCUGGUUGACCCACUCUCAGGCAGCGAUUCCAUCAUCAGCCAAACCCAGUGGGCUGGUAGAAGAGUCAGGACAUGAUAAUUAAAGGCAGGCAGCCAUGCGUGGCUAUGUCCUCAUAUUCACUUCCAUCUCAAGCCAUCCCUCAGCUUUCUGCUGUCACUUAGAGGCUUCUUUAUCAUGGAAAAGAGAAAUAAGUGAAGGUGAUAGAGUAAAGCGACCCUUUCCUUCUCCCUCCCUAAACAAGUAAUAGAGGACCUUGGCUAAGAAUGUAAUUGAGUUCUUAUGAGGGGUAAUCAUUAAGCCGUAUUUGGGUGAUUGUGUAGCAAAGAAAUGGAUAUUAAGAAGUUCAGUUUUGGGACCCUUGUAUUCAUCAAAUUCUAUGUGUUCUGAGUUCCAGGUACUUAUAUCCAACUGCCUGUUUUAUACCUUUAAGAACUUAGGAAUAGGCACCUCAAGCUUUAUAACCUAAACAGAAAACUCUUGAAUUUUCCGUACCUCAUCCCAUCCCACCCUUACAAUCUGUCACCCCAACAGCUGGUUCAAGAGCACCAGUAGUUACUCAGGUACAGCACUAGAAAUGAUCCUUGAUUCUUCUCAUUCCCUCCCAUAUCACCUUGACCCCACCAACAAGUUCUGUUGGAUCUAGUUCCAAAACACACUGGAUUCCCAAAUCUGAUCACCUUUUAUCAUUUCCACAGCUACAACCAUGAUUCCAGUUCCCACCAUCUCUCUCCAGUUUCCUGGCUGGUCAUUGAACCUCCUGUUUAGCCCUCCCGACCCCAUCAUCUAUCCUCCACAGUGUUGCCAGAGCAGUUACAUUUUAAAAAUCAUGCCAACUACUUACAUCAAACCUCUGAAGAUUUCCCAUUGCAUGUGGAAUAACUACCAAACUUUUCCCCACUGUAUAAUGUGACUCCUAUAUGCCUUGCUGACCUCUUCAGCUUCCCCUCAACUCCUCAUUUCAUGGACCGGGAUGCCUUUACACAUGCCUUUUUGUCUUUCAUCCUUGCCAAGCCUAUUCCUAGUUCAGGGCCUUUGCACUUGCAAUUCCUUCUACUUAGAAUGUUUUGGCUCCUUACUGUCACAUGGUGCGUCCUUUUUGCCUUCAGGUCUCAAUUUGAACGCCACUUUCUCUGGGUGGCCAUUGUAGAUUGCCUGAACUAAAGCCACAACCCAAUCACUUGCUACAGCAUUAUCAUAUUUUAUAAUCUCUGAAAUAUUUAAAUGUACCUCACAUUUUAUUUCAUAUUUAUCUGUAAAUAUGUUUAUUACCUCUUCCCAGCACAGAAGUUUAAGUUUCUAGAGGGCAAGACUCUGUCUGACUUGUUCAUACUUUUAACUCCAAUAUCUAUAGAAACAAAUAAAUAUUUGUUUGUGGGCGGACUGAGUAACAGACAGACUAAGUCUUUUUUAUUCCUGGUAGGCCUGAAAGAGAAUGGUUUGAAUGGUUAAAAGAGGAAACGUUUGAAUGGGUGAAAGAAAGCAACCUUGUACUACACAAUAAUGCAAAAAAAAAAAAAAAACUCCAUUUUAAGAGAAGCACCUUGCAAAUUAUGGAACAGUGGUCAGAAUAUUUAACUCUUAGGAGUUUAGAGGCCAGGCACAGGGGCUCACGCCUGUAAUCCCAGCACUUUGGGAGGCUGAGGAGGGCAGAUCACCUGAGGUCAGGAAUUCGAGACCAGACUAACCAACAAGGAGAAACCCC